rnacentral:rRNA from 1 species
AGACAUGCAGUCGAACGGAGUUUCACUCCUGCAGCGGACUUCGGUCCAAAGCUUUGUGAAACUUAGUGGCGAACGGGUGAGUAACAGGUAGACAACUUGCCUCAAUGACUGGGAUAACAUCGGGAAACUGGUGCUAAUACCGGAUAGGAUAUGGAUUCGCAUGAAUCUUUAUUUAAAGAUGGUUCUGCCAUCACAUUGAGAGAGGUCUGCUUCGUAUUAGCUUGUUGGUGAGGUAAUGGCUCACCAAGGCGAUGAUGCGUAGCCGAGCUGAGAGGCUGAUCGGCCACACUGGAACUGAGACACGGCCCAGACUCCUACGGGAGGCAGCAGUGGGGAAUAUUGCACAAUGGGCGAAAGCCUGAUGCAGCAACGCCGCGUGCGGGAAGAAGGCCCUAGGGUUGUAAACCGCUUUCAGCAGGGAAGAAAAUGACGGUACCUGCAGAAGAAGGUGCGGCCAACUACGUGCCAGCAGCCGCGGUGACACGUAGGCACCAAGCGUUGUCCGGAUUUAUUGGGCGUAAAGAGCUCGUAGGCGGUUCAGUAAGUCGGGUGUGAAAACUCUGGGCUCAACCCAGAGACGCCACCCGAUACUGCUGUGACUAGAGUGCGGUAGGGGAGCGGGGAAUUCCUAGUGUAGCGGUGAAAUGCGCAGAUAUUAGGAGGAACACCAGUGGCGAAGGCGCCGCUCUGGGCCGUAACUGACGCUGAGGAGCGAAAGCGUGGGGAGCAAACAGGAUUAGAUACCCUGGUAGUCCACGCCGUAAACGUUGGGCACUAGGUGUGGGUCUCAACCAA